CAGUAGGGAAUCUUGGUCAAUUGGCGAAAGCCAGAACCAGUCAUGCCGCGUGCAGGAUGAAGGCCCUACGGGUCGUAAACUGCUUUUAUUCGGGAAGAAAAAGUCUGUUUCCACAGACCUUGACGGUACCGAUUGAAUAAGGACCGGCCAACUCCGUGCCAGCAGCCGCGGUAAUACGGAGGGUCCAAGCGUUAUCCGGAUUCACUGGGUUUAAAGGGUGCGCAGGCGGCUAAGUAAGUCAGUGGUGAAAGCCUUCGGCUCAACCGGAGAAUUGCCAUUGAAACUACUUAGCUUGAGUGCAGUAGAGGUAGGCGGAAUGUAGCAUGUAGCGGUGAAAUGCAUAGAUAUGCUACAGAACACCGAUAGCGAAAGCAGCUUACCACACUGUAACUGACGCUGAGGCACGAAAGCAUGGGUAGCAAACAGGAUUAGAUACCC
rnacentral:rRNA from 1 species